CGGAGUGGACACACCUCUGGUGUAUCGGUUGUCACGCCAGUGGCAUUGCCGAGUAGCUAUGUGUGGAAGAGAUAACCGCUGAAAGCAUCUAAGCGGGAAACUCGUUUCAAGAUGAGAUCUGCCGGGGCCUUGAGCCCCCUAAAGAGUCGUUCAAGACCAGGACGUUGAUAGGUCAGGUGUGGAAGCGCAGUAAUGCGUUAAGCUAACUGAUACUAAUUGCUCGUGCGGCUUGACCCU
rnacentral:rRNA from 1 species